rnacentral:pre_miRNA from 1 species
AUUGUCGUGCAAAAGUGCUUACAGUGCAGGUAGCCUACACACUCUACUGCAAUGCAAGCACUUCUUGCAUUACCGU